CACAGAUUCAGGUUUCGUGAACCUUCCAAAAAUCCAAGAAGAGUCACAGUCACGUUUCUCCUUAAAUUGUCAAGAACAGUUAUUGCCCGAGUCUUUAAAUGUACAUGAAGAUUCACCCCAACUAAUCUCAGAAAGGCAGAAGACCGCUGUGUCUGCUAGAGGCAGUAUCCGAGGACAAGAUCAUUCUUUACCAUUGUGUGAAAACAAUACAUUGCCAUCAGUUUUACCUCCCAAAAAUCAAGAUGUGGCUCCUCUUAAAAGCUCCCUGACCAGUCCUAAAAAACCUUCUGAAUCUCAGGAUGCUGAAGAAGUUUCUGUUUUCCCUAUUGAAAAGAUAACCACUUUGGAGACCCAGGAAAAAAUGUUUGCAGCUGUUACUCAAGAAGAUAAAAAGGCAUCUAUUCCAGUUCUUCCUGUCACACACACUACAACUGUAACUUUGGAAACUCACUUGCUUGAGGAAAAAAAUCUUCCAUGCGCUCAAGAAGUAGCUGUUAAAGGAGGACUUCCAUUAAUAACUCAAAUGAAUAAAAUGCAGCAAGCAUCAACGCUUUCACUAGCAGAAGCAGACCUGAACACUGGGAAGAAAACAGCCGAGCUUUUGCACAGUAUGCUUGCUAAGCUGUCACCAGGUAUAGAUGAUCUGCAAGACAUGGAAGCUUUUGAAGACAGUGAAAUAGAGAGCAGUGCUGAGGGUAGAUUAAGUAAGCUACCAAAACUUCUUGCAAGCUUAGAGUCAAACCUGAAAGAUCUGCAAGAAGCACUGGCUCUGGGAGGUGGCCAAACAAGCAAUGUAAGCGGUAAGUAGAGAGCUGAAGUCCGAUAUCAGAAUGUUUAUUCAGUAACAGUUCUUUUGUGCCCAUAUAGUAGAAUCAUUGGAACAA
rnacentral:lncRNA from 1 species